rnacentral:lncRNA from 1 species
AAAAAAUACCGCACUGUAGUUGUUUUUGAGGUUUGGCGAGAGAACAGCAAGUUGCAAUUUCACGUUAUUGCCCCCAGUUUGUCCGCACGAGUGGCCCACCGCUUUACAGGCAGCGGUUCCUGCUGGAGGGCAGCUUUAAUAGUCGCACGGCUUUUUUACAAAAGGCAGAGGUGGAUGGAUCCCCCGGCUCUCGCCCGCCCGACCGUGUGCCGGUGGCACAGCUUUCCAGGGCACCUACUCCAGCCCCCGUCGCUCGUGUAGUUAGACGAGGCUGCCAUGGUAACAGACGGUAUUUCUCGUCCCUUCAGUCACGUUGCAGGCCAAACCAGAUGGGCAAGCAAUACAAGCUGUGAAUUUAUUCUUGAUCCCUGUAGGACAGUGACCACCUCCGUUUUUACCAUCACCGUACAGAUAUGCAUUGUCAAUAAGCACUUCCGUGUCCUGCUGAUGUGGUCUGAAGCUUAAAGAUAUGCUGGCAAUAUUAAGAGAAUUAAUUACAAAGCCUGGAGUUUCUUUAAAUACACUCCAAAUAUUGUAUAAUCUGGAUCUGUCCAAUGCCAAGUUUUCCAUGCUUCAGGAAUGUUGCUCCUUUGGGGCGGCGUGGAUGCCAUAGUACUGCACUGCAUAUGGAUAAGUGUGGAGAAAGUGAGCAUCAUUAGACUCUUCCUUGGAGGUUACAGCUAUAAAGCGUUGCUGGUUAUGUUGGUUGGUUGGGUUGUAAAGUAAUGGUGUUUUUUAGUGUGUGCUCUGUGGUGUGCAUAGUGACCAGUGACUGUGGUCUGUGGACCAGUCCACUUAACAACCUUCUUCCGAAGAGGAGUGUGACUAAGAAAAGUAAGCUGGCUGUCAGCAGGCAUGAAGUUGCUCUCCAGAGGGUCUCACCAUUACUGGAAAAACUUUAGGGAGCCUGCAAAUCGAAGAAGUUAAGAGCCUUUUCAGUCUUUCCACAGGCUUGAAGUAAAAUGAAACCAUGAAGUACAUGUUUUUGGUGUCCUAUUAUUUUCUCAGUUAUUAAUUGUAUUAUUACAAUUUCAUGUCAUUUUUUUCUGCUUCUUUCAUGUUACAUUUUUAGUAGAUUGACAUUACUGUCUUCCUCUUUGAAUAUACUUGCUGUUGUUUGAUUUCCAAAUUUCUACUAUGUUGUUUUAAUAGAGUAAUUAAUCUGGGCCAUUUUGAAAACAUUACAUGGAAGCUCUGUGAACGAAUUUAACAAUUGCUGUUUAAAAUAUGACAUCUUCUGUAAAGUUACCAAACAUUCUGCCAGCACCAGUGUAGUUAUGGCCAUUUUCAAAGAACUUAGAGUUUGCUGGAAAAAUGAUCCACCAGAGUGGAAUGUUUUUGUUUGUUUGCAAUAUGAACGAGAAUAAACUAUU